UGAUCCGAUGAGCUGGUGGCCAUGAUC
rnacentral:piRNA from 1 species